UACGUAGGUGGCGAGCGUUGUCCGGAUUUAUUGGGCGUAAAGGGCGCGCAGGCGGUGCGUCAAGUCCGGUGUCAAAUCUCCCGGCUCAACUGGGAGGGCGCGCUGGAUACUGGCGGACUGGAGACAGGCAGAGGCCGGUGGAAUUCCCGGUGUAGUGGUGAAAUGCGUAGAUAUCGGGAGGAACACCAGUGGCGAAGGCGGCCGGCUGGGCCUGGACUGACGCUGAGGCGCGAAAGCGUGGGGAGCGAACCGG
rnacentral:rRNA from 1 species